rnacentral:rRNA from 1 species
AUUGCCCCAGUAACGGCGAGUGAAGCGGCAACAGCUCAAAUUUGAAAUCUGGCCCUCGGGUCCGAGUUGUAAUUUGGAGAGGAUGCUUUUGGCGCGGCGCCGUCCGAGUUCCUUGGAACAGGACGCCAUAGAGGGUGAGAGCCCCGUACGGGCGGCCGCCUAGCCUUUGUAAAGCUCCUUCGACGAGUCGAGUAGUUUGGGAAUGCUGCUCAAAAUGGGAGGUAAAUUUCUUCUAAAGCUAAAUACCGGCCAGAGACCGAUAGCGCACAAGUAGAGUGAUCGAAAGAUGAAAAGCACUUUGAAAAGAGGGUUAAAAAGUACGUGAAAUUGUUGAAAGGGAAGCGCCUGUGACCAGACUUGCGGCCCGUGGAUCAUCCGGUGUUCUUCACCGGUGCACUCCGCGGGCUGCAGGCCAGCAUCGGUUUUCCUAGGGGGAUAAAGGUCGCGGGAACGUAGCUCCCUCGGGAGUGUUAUAGCCCGUGGCGUCAUGCCUCUGGGGGGACCGAGGACCGCGCUUCGGCAAGGAUGCUGGCGUAAUGGUCACCGGCGACCCGUCUUGAAACACGGACCAAGGAGUCAAGCAUUGGGGCGAGUGUCUGGGUGCCAAACCCGCACGCGAAAUGAAAGUAAACGCAGGUGAGAGCUUCGGCGCAUCACCGACCGAUCCUGAUGUUCUCGGAUGGAUUUGAGUAAGAGCCUUACCGCUUGGACCCGAAAGAUGGUGAACUAUGCCUGUAUAGGGUGAAGCCAGAGGAAACUCUGGUGGAGGCUCGCAGCGGUUCUGACGUGCAAAUCGAUCGUCAAAUAUGGGCAUGGGGGCGAAAGACUAAUCGAACCAUCUAGUAGCUGGUUACCGCCGA